CCUACGGGCGGCAGCAGUGGGGAAUAUUGGACAAUGGGGGGAACCCUGAUCCAGCGACGCCGCGUGAGUGAAGAAGUAUUUCGGUAUGUAAAGCUCUAUCAGCAGGGAAGAAAGGAAGGACGGUACCUGACUAAGAAGCCCCGGAUAACUACGGGCCAGCAGCAGCGGUAAUACGUAGGGGGGAAGCGUUAUGCGGAUUUACUGGGUGUAAAGGGAGCGUAGACGGUUACGCAAGUCUGGAGUGAAAGGCGGGGGCCCAACCCCCGUGCUGCUGUGGAAACUGUAUACCUGGAGUGCAGGAGAGGGACGUGGACUUCCUAGUGUAGCGGUGAAAUGCUUAGAUAUUAGGAGGAACCCCAGUGGCUAAGGCGGCUUACUGGACUGUAACUGACGUUGAGGCUCGAAAGCGUGGGGAGCGAACAUUAUUAGAUACCCCAGGAGUC
rnacentral:rRNA from 1 species